rnacentral:rRNA from 1 species
UACGUAGGGUGCGAGCGUUGUCCGGAAUUAUUGGGCGUAAAGGGCUCGUAGGCGGUUUGUCGCGUCGGGAGUGAAAACACCGGGCUUAACUCGGUGCUUGCUUUCGAUACGGGCAGACUAGAGGUAUGCAGGGGAGAACGGAAUUCCUGGUGUAGCGGUGAAAUGCGCAGAUAUCGGGAAGAACACCCGUGGCGAAGGCGGCUCUCUGGGACGGUACUGACGCUGAGACGCGAAAGCGUGGGGAGCGAACAGG